GGCGUGAGGGCGAUCUGGCUGCGACAUCUGACACCCCAUCAGUUGCCAGGGUUGAUUCAGCUGAUCUGGCUGGUAGGCUGGUGUCCCCUUCCUCCCUUAGUGCUCCAGGUGUGUCCCUCCCAAAGCUGCACGCUCAGUUAGGAGGACGACCUUCCCUGACAGGACCAUUCUGUAGUCAAGGGUAUACGAGUAGCUUCCGGACCUCUGGGUCCCGGCUGGGCAAGGGCGUGCCAGCUGCUGGUUCCAUCUUACCUGAACCAUGGAGGAGGCAUUCAUCUCAGCGGCUAAGACUUCAGUCAGUCUGCCUGGACUCAGGUCCUGCUUAUCCAGGU
rnacentral:snRNA from 1 species